UACAAUGUCUUGACUCUUUGUCUUAUUUAAAUUUUUUUAUGAUUAAUAUUUUUAUUUUUACUAUAUGAUAAAAUAUGAAUAAUACUUUAUACGUUACUAAUUUUUUUAAGUUUUUUAUAAGUUUUUCAAAUAAGACGAAUGAUCAAACAUUAGACACGAAAA
rnacentral:pre_miRNA from 1 species